rnacentral:lncRNA from 1 species
AAAAACCAGCUCCUUGCGUCACAAACAAAGUAACAAUCAACCACUUGGGCAAUUGUAAUUUACAACUACAAGCAAACUAUAAACUACACAAUCGAUUGAGUAGAAAAUGUAGUUAUGAUCUACUUUCAAGUGGGUAGAAACUACACAAUCAGAUAUUUGUUUUUAUCUAUUUAUUAUUAUUAUUUUUAUUAGUAUGCAAUCUGAUAAAUUCAUAUGUGAUUUAGCAUGCAAUUAUUCAGUAUUAAAUUUAAUAACCAGCAAAACCAAAUAACAACAAAAAACCAGACUGAAAUCAAUGAAAUCAAUUACCAAAUUACUGAAAUCAAUGACCAAAACACAACAACAAAAAACAGAUUUAUGAAAUCAAUAAAAUCAAUUAACAAAUUAAUGAAAUCAAUGACCAAACAACAACAAAAAACCAGAUUGAAAACAAUGAAAUCAAUUACCAAAUUAAUGAAAUCAAUGACCAAACAACAACAAAAAAAAAAACCAGAUUGAAAUCAAUGAAAUCAAUUACCAAAUUAAUGAAAUCAAUGACCCAAAACACAACAACAAAAAACAGAUUUAUGAAAUCAAUAAAAUCAAUUAACAAAUUACUGAAAUCAAUGACCAAAACACAACAACAAAAAAACAGAUUUAUGAAAUCGAUAAAAUCAAUUAACAAAUUAAUGAAAUCAAUGACCAAACAACAACAAAAAACCAGAUUGAAAUCAAUGAAAUCAAUUACCAAAUUACUGAAAUCAAUGACCAAAACACAACAACAAAAAACAGAUUUAUGAAAUCAAUAAAAUCAAUUACCAAAUUAAUGAAAUCAAUGACCAAACAACAACAAAAAACCAGAUUGAAAACAAUGAAAUCAAUUACCAAAUUAAUGAAAACAAUGACCCAAAAAAAAAUAUCAGUAAAAUACUAACAGAUAAAAUCGCAGAAAUCAAAUGCAAAACAAAUCUGUAAACAGAUUAAAUCAAACGAGAAAUUUAAAAACAGAUUUUAAUCGCACUCAAAUGAACUAUUGGAAAAGAACGACCGAUUGUAGACUGAUAGCAGACUGAUAACUAGUAGGAUUAAAGAAACUAGCAGACUGAUAACAAUUCAAACCAUUGCAAAUCAAUCGUACAAUUUAUUUCUUAAAUUCAAACAAUUCAAGACUGAUAGCAGACUGAUUAACUAGUAGGAUUAAAGAAACUAGCAGACUGAUAACAAUUCAAACCAUUGCAAAUCAAUCGUUCAAUUUAUUACAAUUUAUUUCUUAAAUUCAAACAAUUCAAGACUGACUUCAACUCAGUUGCAAUUGCAGAUAAAUUCAAACAAUUUAUUUCUUAAAUUCAAACAAUUCAAGACUGAAUUCAAGACUAAAUUCAAACAAUUUAUUAUAACUUGCAAUUGCAGAUAACAGAAAAGUGAAAAAAAAAAAAAAAAAUUCAAACCAGAGUUGCAAUCGCAGAUUGCAAUCAAUCGGCGAGAAGAACCACGCUCCAAUCGCAGAUUGCAAGCGCUGUAGCCGGGAAGAAAAGACAAGAAAAGAAACCGCUCCAAUCGCAAAAGCCGACGAAAUCGCAAAUCGCAAAUCGCUGUAGCCGACGAAAUCCAAUCGCGAAAAAUUCAAGCCGUGCCCUAACGCGCAAAAGCCCCAAUCGAAUCAAGAAGCUCUAGAUACCAUGUAGAAAUCUGGAGAGGUUUCCUCAAUGAAUCAUCAACAAGAAAUUGAUAGAAGAAGAAGAUAGAAGAAAGGGGAAGAAUGAAGUCGUUAGGUCAAACAAGAAGAAGAAAGAGUAAACUCUUUAAUUGACAAUGAAAUUAUAUCAUUCAACUUAACUAAUCAUUACACAAAGCCUAUACUUAUACUUAAUAUUAUGGGUACAUUUAUACAAAACCCCUUAUAGUAUUUUUAACUCUUUAC